CGGUUCGCCAGGCCGACAGUGUGCCAGGUGCUGGGCAUUCAGCAGUGAACAGGUCACGCUGGGGCACUCCCACACCAAAUCUGACUCAGUGUGCUUUGUUCACGGGUACCAUCUUAAAGAUGAAAAGAGAUGAAACCAGACUGGCUAUGCAGUAACAACUCUUUUAGAGAAUCCAGUUUCCUACAGUGUCCAGGAGAGAAUCGUUACAAUUUAGCGCAAUGGAUGUCCAGGGUCCUGGGAGGAGAAGCCAGAGAGAGGACACCUCAGCAGGAGUGAUGGGGGUGAGGAAGCAGCAAAGGAUCCCAGAAGCAGGGGGACUGCGACCUGAGUGCUAAAGGGAAUUCUGUUCAUCCAGGAGACCCCAUUAAUUUGAAGUUACCCCGGGACUAUUUAUGGAAUCCAGAAAGACCUUUGAUGGCUUCACUCACUCUGUCUAGAAGAUUCUCCUGGAGUCCUGAGCUUGUCUCAGUCAGCACUGAAAGCCUGAGAGAGAGACAAAGAGAGAGCGAGCGAGCCAGCACCACACUUGCUUCUUGACUCGGUCCUGCUUUAUAGCUGCACCUGAUGGAAACAUCUGUUCUUCAGCUAAAUGCCAAGAAGAGCCAGUUUGAGACUGGUGAGUGAUUUGCUGAAAGAAUUCAGAAGGUACCAGAGGAGAUUCAUGUUCGAAUUCCAUCUCCUGUUCUCCAGCCUUACUCUCUAGGGUGCCUUUGAAGGUCAAACUGAGUCUCCAUGAAAUCACCCUCCACCAGGUGGACAGACCAUUCCGACUUUAGGAAGGAAGAUGGUGACCCAGGGUGUCCCCUGCUCUUCAGUGCAGCAGCCAAACUCCCUUUCAACAUCAUCAGCUGUCCAAGAUCCAGUUCAGUUAGCUCAAACCCAUCUUCUCACCAAAUUCCUAGGCUAUUAAAGAUUCAAGGAUGCCUCAAAGAAGGUGUCUGGUCUGUCUUUUUGUCUGAGACUCUAAACUCUAGCAUGGCCUGUUGGAAAAAGAGCAUCCCUAUGUAUAGGUUUGAGUGAACCUUACUUGGGAGAAUUGGUUUUUGUUUUUCAACCACUCGUAAGAACAGCUUGCUGAUGCUUUCUGAUGGUGGCAAUGGAAAAAGUCAACAUUUGGGUCAGCUGGCACGCAUGCCUAGUCCAAGCCAUGGCCAUCCCCACCAGGCUACUGCAGUGGCCCCUGAUGUGGUCUCCCUGCCUCCCCUCUCACUCCGUACUGCCCAUUUCCACACAGCAGCUGAAGCCACCAAUGGCUUCUCAUCACACUUAGAAUAAAGCCCAAGCUCCUCACCCUGGCCGAUGAGGCCUCCAGAACAUGGCUCUGCCUGGUUUUUCUAACUGAUUUUGUACCAUCCUCCCCAUGCCCACCACUUUCCAGCCCUCGCUUUCUUACAGUUCCUUGAACACAUUAAAUUUGCUUCUACCUACAGUCCCUCACACUUGUUCCUUUUGCCUGGAAUGACCCCGAUGAUUGCCUUUCCAGCUCUUCUUGUCAUUUCCUUUUCUUAUUAAACGUCACUUCUCCUGAGAAUCCUUCCCUGACCACCCCAUCUGAAUGAGUUCCAGCAUAUAACUUGGUUUUAUUUUCGCCUUAAUACUUCUGGUAUUUUCUUGUUUAUUCAAUCUGUUUUACCGUCUGGCU